CGAUUAACCGAGUCGGUAGAACAUUUUGCACUCGUCUUUCCGGUUCUCCUUUGACGAAGACAACAACCGAACCGCCGAAAAACUUGAAACCCACCUCGUAGCACAGCGGACUAUGGAUAACAAAGAUCAGAUUUAUUCGUCAGUUUUAGCGGCGCGAAGGAUCUCUCUCGAUCCCGUUAAACGCAGAAAAGUUUCUCUUUUACGAAAGUUUCCUUGUCUAUCAGCUAGUCGACUCGCGUUUCCUUGAUCGCAAAUGUCCGAUAUUACGAAUACACGUAUAUUUACUCGAUGAAAAUGACUAAAUACACUCUGGAUGACGCGAAUUCAUUGUCGGAUGUCGGUGAUACGAAUGCCUGCGUAAAACGAAUCAUUCACGUGACGAAAAGAUCCUUUGUUUUGACUCGAAACGACUCGGCUUCCACUUUUCACUUACCAACCACGAGCAGGGCGAAGAUCGUGCAAAGCAAAAGCAGCUUGUUACGCAUGCUGCCUGUUUUUGGCUUCCCCGAUGAUCUAGUUUCCUUUUCGAUCGGCUUUCUUGUGAGAUUGUCCGCUGCGACGAUGCGAUCUAGGAUCUCCGCGAAGAUCGAUGCUGACUGUUGGACGGCUGGCCCGUUACUGAAACGCUUCCAACCGGAAACAUUCACGCUUGCACACGCUGAACUCGGUUCGGACUUGCAGCGUUGCGUCUGUCCGGGGCUUUCUCCUUGCAUCGAUCUUUGACGCGAUCGAGAUCAAGUGGUAGGGAUCCAGCGAUCCGACACCGAGACAAAGUUCGCGGAACGAGCGAAGCUCUUUGUGAGGCAACCAUGGCAAUGACGUGGUUCCGAGUUGUAAACAUUUUGUUAAUAUUCGCGCAUAAUCUUUCCAUAAUAGGAGAUCGAUUACUACCGCAAAUUAAAUUUUAAGUCAUUGAAGUCCCGCGCUACCAGAAAUGUUUGAAGAUACUCCGUGGCAUAUAAUAGAUCGUAAUUAUAUUUGUAUACUUACAUACUUUCGAUUUAUAAAUAAUAUACAAAUUUAAUGCUACAAAUUUCUUAACGA